rnacentral:rRNA from 1 species
UAGGGAAUAUUGGACAAUGGGCGCAAGCCUGAUCCAGCCAUGCCGCGUGAGUGAAGAAGGCCCUCGGGUUGUAAAGCUCUUUUGUCCGGAAAGAAAAGCAUUCGGUGAAUACCCGGAUGUCCUGACGGUACCGGAAGAAUAAGCACCGGCUAACUUCGUG